ensembl:lncRNA
CUAGAAUCCAGGAGGCACUCAAUUCAUGUUUACACAAACGAACGAAUCUCAGUAACGCUGCAUGGCAUCUUAUAAGACGGAAAGGUGAUUUUCCUGGGUUGGAAAGGAACAGAAGAGAGAGCUGCCUACCUAGGGCUUAAGGGGCCUCAGGCUGGCACCCGAAGCCAGGCGUUCUCAUUUCCCUUUGGCACCAUCCUGAACUGCCAGAAGCUGGCGCGAUGCUAAAGGAGGGAGGAAACGCAUGUGAGGAAAAUCAGAGAGGAGAGGCUCGGGAACAGAUUUACCGGACCACGAGGACAGACCCAGUGGCAGUACCUGGCAUAGAGCUGGGUAUGAAAGACUUCCUGAACAAAUGAACACCGUCAGAGGCUCUUGUUCCCACCCCACACCCCCGGGCCCCCCAGCGCGCUCCCCCAAUGUGGCCACAGCGCCUGGCGCGUAGUAGGCGCUCCCUAAACAUCUGUAGAGCAAAUGAGCUGCAAGUUUUCGGCGCGGAGCACGUGGAGCUUUGGAAACCAGGACGGCCGAUGAAGUGGGUGUCAGAUCACAAAAGCGACCCGGGCGCGUGCGACAGGCGGCGGCGGGCGAGAGGCGAGAGCGCUGCAGGGCGCGGGGCGCGGCGCGGGGGGCGCUGCCUGCGUGGCGCCCGAGGCGGGGGCGUGGGGGCCGCGCGCCGGCACGUGCUCGGCUUGGCUCGGCUCGGCCGCUGGCGGGGCGGCGAGGGGCGCGCGGGUGCGCGUGCGGGCGCGGGGUGUGUGCCCGCGCCGUGCCCCCUGCGCGUGCUGCCAGGCGGGCGCCGGCGUGAGUCACGGCCCUGCUGCCUUUAUAACGGCCGCGAGGCGCGCGGAGCCGCCCGCCCGACCGCUGCUCCGCGUUCCGGCGAGCGCGCCCGGCCCGCGCCCCCAACGUCCCCCAACCGCCGGCCAGGCCCGAGGGCGCCAUGAGGAGCCCGCGCUGCGCCCCGCUGCUGCUCCUGCUGCUGCUGCCGCCGCUGCUGCUCACGCCCCCCGCCGGGGACGCCGCCGUCAUCACCGGGGCCUGCGACAAGGACCCCCAGUGUGGUGGAGGCAUGUGCUGCGCUGUUAGUAUCUGGGUUAAGAGCAUAAGGAUUUGCACACCUAUGGGCAAAGUGGGAGACAGCUGCCAUCCGCUGACUCGUAAAGUUCCAUUUUUUGGGCGGAGAAUGCAUCACACGUGUCCAUGUAUGCCGGGCUUAGCUUGUUUACGGACUUCGUUUAAUCGAUUUAUUUGUUUAGCCCGAAAGUAAUCACUUUGGAGUAGAAACUUGAAAUGUGAACAGCCGCACGAUGUCUGUAAAGUCUAUUUACUUGUGAUUGUGCCAAACAAGUAAGAUGCCAGAAAGAAAUGCUGUUGCUUCCUCAACUUUCCAAGUAACAGUUCUAGCUUUGAUUUUUAAAUGAUGGUUUUUUUAAAUUGAAAGAGGAUUUUAAUUUUGGACAGAAAUGUAAAGUGCAAGGCAUUAUGGAACCAGUUCUCGUUUCCCUGUUUGUGUUUUGGUUUGGUUUUGCUUUUUUUUUUUUUAAUGCCAAUAACUCACCCAUUUUCACAAAAAUGAGGAGAACAAGAAUUUGAUAUUUUGUUACAGAAACUUAUUUUUCCUUAAACCCCUGUCCCCAAGCCCUGGCCCCAGAUACACACACACACACACACAGCCCUUUGAGUCUCGUCUCUCACUCGUCAAGGAAUUUUAAGUCUGUCACUUUAUUCUUUGCCAUUUCCCUCUCUGACCUUCUAGCAUUUUAAAGUGUGCGCGUGGGGUCCAUGUCCUUUAACUUGCUGGCAGAAUCACUGACAAGAAUCAAGCUUUUUGCUUGAUACUUAAACAGUGGAAAGAGUCUAGUGGAACCAGCUGCUCCAGACUUCUCUUCUGUGGGGUGGAGGUUGGGGUGCUUCUGAAUUUCCACUGAACUUGCCUCUGAGAUGGACUUCAGGUCUGCUGUUUGACUGGGGGGAGGACAGGAGGCAUGGAAAGUCAAAUUAGUCCAGAUUUGUAGAUUUGGGGUUUUUUUUUUUUGAAGGCUUUUCUAAUACAAGAUUACUUUUAUUUCUCUUUCUCUUUAUAAAACUUUUUUUAAAGUCUCAUAGUUAGAGAUGUUCCAGAAAAUGUCACUUGAAGAGGAAGUAUUGAUUUUAAUCUGGCAUAACACUAGUUACCAUUUUUAAAUCGGUAUUACGUUGUAAUUUAAACUUUAUCUGUAACCAAAAGGUCUGUUGUAAUGGAUUGCCUGACAUCCUGCCAUUUGUACCUGUAUCAAUAUUGUGUAAAAAUUCUGUAUCAGAAUAAUGACAGUAUUGUAUAUCAUUUGAUUUAUUUUAAUAUUAUAUCCUUAUUUUUGUCACAGUUGUCGUCAGUUUUUAUUACAAGGAAACUCCUCUAUAGCUCACAUUCUAAAGUGGGUAAAGACUCCAAAGUUGGUAAAAUAGCACUAACGGCAUGUGCAUUUUCAUUUUACAUACAGGAAAGUUCUGUUUGCAUGAAUUUUAAGGUAGUACAAAAAAUAAACAGUGUGUAAAUCAGUGAGGUUUUGGAGCACAACGGAAAAUUAUGACAUGCAAAACUGACUGUAAUCAGGAAUGGACUCAUGGGAUUUCACUGUGUUGAUCUGGCCAAUAGUGCCGGAGUGUUUGUCAUGGUUAGGCAGGUGCUAGCCAAAAGGCGAUGCCCGUGUAGCCUGGCCUUGAAAAACCCACGGAGUAUUGUAAAUGAUUGAACGUCGCAAAUAAACAACUUAUGAAAUGCGUUCAACUGACUAAACUUGACCAUGCCAACCCACUAACUGUUUCCAAAAAAAAAAAAAACUGUCCAUUUGUAGUUCUUUACUCAGCCAGGGCUUACAAUUGUACAUUGUGUGUAACUUUACCCUUGGGGUUAACACGUCCCAUGAAUGUAUGGGAUUUUGCUGUGCUAAUUGCCAUACUUCAUCAUAGAAGUAUUAUUUUUGGUUCAGUUAGUUUGUUUUCAAGAAGCUUUCCUCAGCCCAAUGGUGUAGUGGUUGGGUUUGCGUUCUCCACUUCAGCAGACUGGGGUUCCCGGAUUUGGAUCCCGGGCAUGGACCUACACACUGCUCAUCGGCCAUGCUGUGGCAGAAACCCACAUACAAACUGGAGGAAGAUUGGCACAGAUGUUAGCUCAACGGCAGUCUUUCUCAAGCAAAAAGAGGAAGAUUUGCAACAAAGGUUAGCUCAAGCCCAAUCUUCCUCACCAAAAAAAAGAAAGAAACAUUCCUCAGUGAAUUUGUUGAAAAAAAAUUCAAGUGGAAUUGUGGGAAAAGAAACAGGCACUUCCAUAAUUUUGCUCAAUGUUGUUUUUAUAUAGUGUUUGAUACAUCCUUUUUCAUAAGUGGUGAAAACUUAAUAGGGUCAAUCAUCGAUUUUCACCCAAGUUAGAAAACAUAUAGCUAAUUUUUAUAAAAUUUUACUUUUACGGAUACCAACUCAAUUUUUCGAAAAAUCACUACCUAAAGAAGUAGACUGGGGCCAGCCCAGUGGUGCAGCAGUUAAGUUUGCAUGCUCUGCUUCAGUGGCCCGGGGUUCACUGGUUUGGAUCCCCAGUGCAGACAUGGUACUGCUUGGCAAGCCACGUUGUGGCAGGCGUCCCACAUAUAAAGUAGAGGAAGAUGGGCAUAGAUGUUAGUUCAGGGCCAGUCUUCCUCAGCAAAAAGAGGAGGAUUGGCAGCAGAUGUUAGCUCAGGACUAAUCUUCCCCAAAAGAAAAAAGUAGACUGUGUGUUCAUAGCCAAGAGAACUGUACCUACUGACUCACUGCCAUCCAAAGAAAAAUGGGACUUUGUCAUUUGUUACCUUUCCCCUGGGUUAUUAUUUUUAUUGAGGAGUAAUGCUCCCUUUUUUUAGUGUACAGUUCUAUUUUGUUAUUAUUUUUUAACUUUUUAUCAAAAUUAAUUUCAAAUAAUUGUUUCAAAAAACUUGUAAUCAUGCGUCGUGGAGGUUCAUACAAAGUUUAGUGCUGUAAAGAUCAUAGUAUUGCUGCUUCUAGCCCUGGGGAUAGUAUCUCCCUGAAGCUGGGACUUCAUUGGCCAGAAUUUCUAUAAGGUUAGGUAAAGUGAGAAUUUACACAAGAAAAACUAAGUCAACAAUCUACGGUGAUGUAAUUUUUUUUUGCUGAGGAAGAUUCUGCCUGAGCUAACAUCUUUGGUAAAGUUACUCUUUUUUUUUCUCCUUGAGGAAGAUUAGCCCUGAGCUGACAUCUGUGCCAAUCUUCCUCCAUUUUGUAUGUGGGGCACCGCCACAGCGUAGCUGGUGAGUGGAGUAGGUCUGCACCCGGGAUCUGAACCUCUGAACCCCAGGCCGCGGAAGCAAAGCACCCGGAACUUUAACCACUACAACACAGGGCCGGGCCCUACUUUGAGUGGUUGCUUUGCACAGGGUGGGAUCAACCCUCCAUCCAAAAUGGGUUUGGAUGUUGCACUGAUGAUAUGGCACACAUCAGGAGGAUGGGACAAGAUUCAUCACUCACAGCAUGGGAUUUUCUGGCGACAAUAAAGCAGGUUCUGAAAGCUGUCAUCUAUCUACGGAUUAAGAAAUGAUGGAGACAGGGAAAGGCACUGAGGCCCAUUACAACAGUAAAUUUUCUUAUGAUGUGUAAAUGAAUUUUAAUCUGGC